AGCGAACGCUGGCGGCAGGCUUAACACAUGCAAGUCGAGCGGGCAUCCUUGUGGUGUCCGCGGCAGACGGGUGAGUAACGCGUGGGAACGUGCCCUUCGGUUCGGAAUAACUCAGGGAAACUUGAGCUAAUACCGGAUACGUGCGAGAGCAGAAAGGUUUAUCUGCCGAAGGAUCGGCCCGCGUCUGAUUAGCUAGUUGGUGAGGUUAUGGCUCACCACGGCGACGAUCAGUAGCUGGUCUGAGAGGAUGAUCAGCCACACUGGGACUGAGACACGGCCCAGACUCCUACGGGAGGCAGCAGUGGGGAAUAUUGGACAAUGGGGGCAACCCUGAUCCAGCCAUGCCGCGUGAGUGAUGACGGCCUUAGGGUUGUAAAGCUCUUUUCUCCGGGACGAUAAUGACGGUACCGGAGGAAUAAGCCCCGGCUAACUUCGUG
rnacentral:rRNA from 1 species